rnacentral:rRNA from 1 species
UACGGGGGGGGCAAGCGUUGUUCGGAAUUACUGGGCGUAAAGGGCUCGUAGGCGGCCAACUAAGUCGGACGUGAAAUCCCCAGGCUCAACCUGGGAACUGCGUCCGAUACUGGAUGGCUUGAAUCCGGGAGAGGGAUGCAGAAUUCCAGGUGUAGCGGUGAAAUGCGUAGAUAUCGGGAGGAACACCAGUGGCGAAGGCGACUACCUGGCCUGUUCUUGACGCUGAGGCGCGAAAGCUAGGGGAGCAAACGGG